rnacentral:antisense_RNA from 1 species
AAAGAACGACAUUGCUCACAUUGCUUCCAGUGUUUAUUUAGCCGGCCUAGCGCCGGCUUUUUUUU